AAAGCAGUUUUCUUAACACCAUUGUUCAAUCACCCUGAACAAAUGGUGGGCCUACCUCAACCAAUUUUCAUGAUAGCAACCAUUUGAAUUUCAGUUUAGAAUUUCAUUGCUCUGCUGCAUGUAGGAAUUACCAUCCUAGGCCAGAUAAAUUGGAUUUUCUCAGUUGAUGAUUAUUAUAUACUUCCAUAUAAUAACCAAGCAAGGCAAUACAAAAAAAUUGAGCGUCCUUUUUUCCCUGCUAACGCCUUAAAAUGUGAAUCAUGAGUAUGCUAAUGCUUUGGCUCUGGGGAUGAAGGCCUCCUCCAUUUCUGUGGAGCUUCAAGAUGAUUUUUUGGCUUUUUGGGUCUCCUCGCUAUCUACUUCUGUCAACGUCAGGUAACUGUUUCUAUAGAUUUUUUCAUUCUUAUGAUUACUAUGUUUAUUUUAUCAAUAUUUGAAGACUGAACAUACAAGUAAACAAAUUUCUUUUUAAAGUAAUCAUAACAUUUACCAAACAAACAUGCUAAACGUGUUCUGCAAGUCUGCAGAGCUAACUAUGAUAGUUCCCCUUCUGCCCAUUUGGAAUGCACAUUUAAUCUACACGGAUGUUCUUGUGGAUAGCUGGCUUAAUCUCAUACACAUAACUCAUAAUCUGCUGAAUUACAAGUUCUUUGUUGGAUGCCAUGCAUCGAUUGAUAAUGUCCAGCUUCAUUUUCAUAUCUUUGUCAAUCUUGGCUGCCACAUCAUCACGAGAUCCCAAAUGCUGUAUUACAAAACUUUGACGGUUGGCAAAUUUCUAUACAUAAUAUUAUAUUCCAUGUACCUUUGAUUCAAAGUCCUUGAACUGCUUUUCUCUUUCUAGGCGAUAGGCUUCAAUUUCUGAUUGAGCUUCUUCUUUGGCUUGUUUGAGUCUGCGUGCUUUCCCUAAUAUCAAAUUGAAAAAUACCAAGAAAUUAAGCUAUGGUGGGAGUGUUUUGUAGAAAAUCCACCAGUGCUGAUUUACUUUGUGUGAAAUACACAUGGAACAAAAACCUA